rnacentral:lncRNA from 1 species
GCGAACACGCUUGCUGUGGCGAUGGAAGUAUGGCGAGCAUGUUCGCUUUGGCGACACAAUUUUGGCGAAUACGUUCGCCUCGGCGGUGGAAUUCUGGCGAGCAAGUUUCGCCGGCGUUGAAAGUUCAACGGCGAACAAGUGUUAACUGACAUCUCUAUCUAUCGCCUGUGGUGCUCAACGCCAAGGGCGAGCCAGACCUGAUUCAAGAUUGCUGAAACAUAUCCCAUUUCCUUCAACUUUUCUUCUAUCUUCUGUUGGUUUUUGUUAAUAUCCUUUGAUUAUCAAAAC